rnacentral:tRNA from 1 species
GACCACGUGGCCUAAUGGAUAAGGCGUCUGACUCUGGAUCAGAAGAUUGAGGGUUGGAGUCCCUUUGUGGUUA